AAUACAAGGCCAACCCGUCCCACCACUGGUGACAUUUCCCUUGAUCACUCGUAUUUGGAGUCUGCCAGUUUUCUCGACUGUAAAGUCACCAGUCCUCCCUUUGCAUUUGGUUGGUUAUUUUGUGCAGAAAUAUUCUGAGAUUAUGCCAACACCUGUUCCUCACCAAACUUCUACCUACCAGCCUUAGCAUCCAUUGAUGACCUCGUCUCUAUCAGCUACCACAGAUUGGGCUGCCAAAUGGGGAAGCUGGCCACAUUGUAAGAAGUCGGACUAUGCUGAGACUGUCAUGAUGACAGAAAACCCAAGCUAGCCAGGUGGAGAGAUCACACAGAAAGAGAUGCCUGGCCAGCUGUUACCUGAUAUGCCAUCAUGUAAGUAAAAAGUCCACCUUGGAUGGUCCAGCUCAUAGAUGCCAUGUACAGCAGAGGUGAGCCAUUCCUGCCAAGCCCUGCCCAAUUGCAGAAUUGUGAGUAAAUAAAUAAUUACUAUUGUUUUAAGCCACUAUAUUUUGGGAUGAGUUGUUACAUAGCCAUUGAAAACCAAAACACCUCUCUCCACCAAGUCAUUUCCAUCACUUCCUUCAAGACGGAGGCCAAGUCACCUACAUUGGAAACGUACCUGACAAGCUCAAUACAGCUCAUCUUAUUUUAGAAUUUGGUAGUUUGGAUUAUGCAGUUCUAUGCCUGCUUUUGGUCAGUUUCAUACAUUUACCUAUCCCUAAAAUUAAUAAUGACAAUGGCCAAUGCUGAGCAUCAUGGAUCAGGCACUGUGGCUGGGAAUAAUGUUAUUCCUAUUUUACAGAUGAGGAAACUGCGGCACUGAGCGGUUAAGCACCCUAUCCAAAGGUGGUUCUGUAUAAGUACCCUUCCCAAUGUCCUUGUCCCUCUAUUGCUUUGGUGAUAUGCACUUUGAACUUGAAGUGCUAAAAAGGAAGCUGAUGUGGAGACAACAGAAUGGCAUCUGUUUUGCAGGCAAGAAGAUAAAGGAAGGACAGAGGUUAAACUAAGAGAUGCAGAAAUUAUAGUAUAUCAGCCAGGUGUGGUGGCUCAUGCCUGUAAACCCAGCCCUUUGGGAAGCCGAUGCGGGCGGAUCACGAGAUAUUAAUCCAAGGAACAAUACUGACGAAUUUCACGGACAAAAUACUAAGAAGGAAAUCAAGUGAAUCAAGCGGAGAAGAAAGACAGUGGAAAAAGAAAACUGAA
rnacentral:lncRNA from 1 species